rnacentral:lncRNA from 1 species
CAUGCUCGCUAGGAUGUCACAUCCUAUGCAUACGUAUCUCCUUGGACGAAGGAGAAUCAGAGCAUUCGUAGCUCGGCUGACACGCACACAAACAAACACAGGCAAAGGCAAACGUGGAGCCUGAAUGCCAAUCAUUGGACUUACAUCAGCAUCCGAACCAACAGACGCACACAAAGAGGCAAACGUGGAGCCUGAACGCCAAUCACUGGACUUACAUCAGCAUCCGAACCAACAAACCCACACUGGAACCCAAAUGCCACUCGAUGGACUUACAUCAGC